GGGCGCGUAGCUCAGCGGUAGAGCACUACCUUGACAUGGUAGGGGUCACAGGUUCGAUCCCUGUCGCGCCCACCA
rnacentral:tRNA from 24 species